AAUGAGAAAGUUUAAAGCGCGUAGUUGGACUACAAGUAUGUGAUUAGGAUGUAUAAACCUAUCACAAUCUUCGUACCUGGAAUAUAUAUAGAUCUAAGUAGAGGCUGCGUUUCUGCCGAAACUUGGACAACCUUUUUACAUAAGCGCUGCAGUAGUCUAGAACUCCCUUUUGGACUGAGCAGCGUGUAAAGGUUGAACGGUCGAAGUUUCUCUCGACAAAGAUUAAAUAGAAAACUGAAACCAGUGCUGAGGCAGUGCUGGAAUUCUACCCUUUAGCACAGUGUAAACUGCUGUGCUCAACCUGGACUUUGUCAAGCCUUCAAGUCCCAAAAGAACUCUUGGUGUGGAGUUUAAGAAUUUCUGUAGGUCGAUGUAAACUAAAAUGGUCCUACAGACAUUAUUGAUCAAUUGAUGAGUAUGCAAGCAUUGAACUGUGAACUGUAGACUGUGAACUACUGUGCUCUCAUGUAAAUGGAUACCCAACGUAAUGUAAGUUUUAAUUUUGUAUUCUUUCAUAAAAACUAUAUUGUCCUAAAAAGUCCAACACAGAAAAUCUAAAAAGCCGCGCUCUAAAAAUUGCAUUUUUUGUAUUUGU